CUCUUAUAAAGAGCGGUGGAGGGAAGUGCCCUAUGAAGCCCGGCAACCAGUACAUUUGUAAAAAGGUGCCAAGUCACGCAAAGCUAUGCUUUGGAAGAUGAGAG
rnacentral:ncRNA from 2 species